rnacentral:rRNA from 1 species
AGUGAACGCUGGCGGUAGGCCUAACACAUGCAAGUCGAACGGAAGCACAGUAAGAGCUUGCUCUUACGGGUGGCGAGUGGCGGACGGGUGAGGAAUACAUCGGAAUCUACUUUUUCGUGGGGGAUAACGUAGGGAAACUUACGCUAACACCGCAUACGACCUACGGGAGAAAGCAGUGGAUCUUCGGACCUUGCGCGAUUGAAUGAGCCGAUGUCGGAUUAGCUAGUUGGCGGGGUAAAGGCCCACCAAGGCGACGAUCCGUAGCUGGUCUGAGAGGAUGAUCAGCCACACUGGAACUGAGACACGGUCCAGACUCCUACGGGAGGCAGCAGUGGGGAAUAUUGGACAAUGGGCGCAAGCCUGACGCAGCCAUGCCGCGUGGGUGAAGAAGGCCUUCGGGUUGUAAAGCCCUUUUGUUGGGAAAGAAAAGCAGUAUGUGAAUACCCCGCUGUUCUGACGGUACCCAAAGAAUAAGCACCGGCUAACUUCGUG